UCACUUUCAGACUAUACUGAAACUCUCCGCCCGACCCCAAACCCACCUCGACCUCCACUCUUUCACUCUCUCCCCCUUACCUUCACACUACAUCCAGUGUUCCAUUUUCUUUUUGCAUUUGACAACAUCCUCUGCAUUCGAUAAUCAAUACAGCCACAUCUGCUUCCUUCUACUUCUCUCUUCAUUAAGCUAGCAGACCAGAGCUCCUUCGCCUCCUCCUCGAACUCUCUCUGUGAAAUCGGGACUUGCAGCCAAGCACGGAGAGCCGAUACAACAUUAUCAUGCACUGAUCUUUGAUUUACAUUUCGAGCCGGCGGAAGUUGGAAUGCUUGCUAGGUGCUUCUGUAUACCUCUCGUAUCUAUUCGUGUGGGGAAGAUCAACAAGCAAGGGACUCUCUUGUGUCCCACUGCUGCUAGGUAAACAUCCGACUAUCGAUAUCCAUUGGUGCUUUGAUUUGGUGUGUUUGUUUGUUUGAAAUGUUGUUUGUAAUUGAUAUUUUUCACUACUUUUGCUCGUUUAAAUAGUUUGAACAAGAACCGUACAAAGUCAAUCACUUAGAACAACUGAUUGUCUUUGCGUUUGGAUAGCUUUGCUGGGAAUCUUUGGCUUUCGAUUUAACUGUUGUUGGUAAUAUCCUGAUGUUAGUACUGUCCGAUGUUUCACAGUUAAUCAAACAUUUAAUUUACUCCCGUUAGUUCAAA